AAGUGCAUACACUAGAGACACCUUGUCGAAUCCCAAUGACGUCUUUAUUUACAGAGAGAGAAUGCUUCGGUAGACCCUCGUCUGGAUAUCAGGUCCAUGUGCCAAGAAUUCAUACCUGAUUGGAGGAUGAUGUUAUAUGAAGUAGCUCGAGGUAUGCCUAUAAAAGGAAAGUCAUGGCCAAGUUACUAGGAGAUACUGAGACAGAUAGCAACAUGUUUUAGAGUUCCUGAGAUUAUCUGACAAAAUGUGUAUAAGGAAAAUGCAGGGACAGACAUUAGUCACACGUUUCAUAAUCUGUCUAGUAAUUCUCUCAACGAUCGAGACAGUACAAUGUGGAUUGGUCAACAAGAAAUUAAGGAAAUUAUUGGAGCAAGCAGAAAACAAAAAGCGAAUGUCAACAACUGUACCUACAACUUCAGUUGAAAAUAUAGUGCUCAAUGAUGUUGCAGCUGAUAUUUUCGCUAAUCAAGUCCAAACGAAACACAAUUCCACAUAUACAGAUUAUAUUUCAACGGAUAUUAUACAAAAAAAUGAUACGUCUGAAAAAGCGACAACCACCGAAACACCGCCUAAUGAAACAGAUAGAGUUGCAAUGUCAUUUGAUAAUGUGUCAAAUGAUGAUAUAGCUGAAUCUACAUCAACACAAAAAGUCAAAACGACAGUGAAUACAACAUUAGCGGAAGAAAAUACAGUAAACACUACUGAGACUCAAAAUGAGAACAUUUCGGAGAAUGAUUUCACUUCAACGGAAUCUUUAUCGACAGCACAUGCAAGGGCGACAGUCAAAACGUCACCAGCGGAUGGCAAUGGCCCAAUUACUACUGAGAAUGAUACCACAACACCGGUGACGAUCAACACCACGAUUUUCAAAAAUAUAGUACAUACUAAUGAAUCACCAACGGAUAUCCCUGAUAUAUCUGAUAACAUCAUUCCAAAAAACGCUUCUACUGAAUCUAUGCUAACACCAAUAACGAGCCGGGGGGUCAAUACAACGACAACAGAACAAAACAAUAUUGAAACAGAUGAACUGUCUAAUAAUAACGCACCCGGUGACAAAAUAGAUGAUACGGCACCGAUACCAGCGAUGACGACAGUAAGUAGUGCACUAACAGGAGAAAAUGGAACCGAUGCGACUCAGUUGCAAAAUGUACCAGGGACGAAUAAUGUUACUUCAACAAGACCAACAACAACGACUGUGACCGAAGCAGCGCGUACAGCGCAGAGCAAGUCUGACAAUUCUGUUCAAAAUAACACCGUUGUUUUACCUAAGUGCAAACGCUCGGGUACCUUCAUGGUAGACACAUCGAUGGACGAAUGCCAUUUCUUGAGUUGUAAUGCUGCUAGUCGGAAAUAUCAACGGGAAAAAUGUCCAUCCAACAGGGCAGUACCAUCGUACUAUAUGAAGGGCAAGAAGAAGAGGGCGAAAGAAUACAGAUACGUGCCUUGCAUAAAACCGAGCUCAAAAUGUCGAGGUCAAAAGCCUGUUAUUGAACGCCCUGUUAUACGGAAAUGUGGAAUUGAUAUUGUUUUCGCUGUAGACGUGUCGUGUUCUAUUACCGAUUCAAAUAAGAGACAAAUCCAGAAUUUUCUGAUGAGCAUUGCUGAUGUUAUCACAAUAGGACCAGUAAGCACACGAAUAGGAAUCAUAGCUUUCGCGAAGCAGAUAUUCCACGUUGCCCUUUUAAAUAACACUCAAAAUAAAUUCCAUUACAAACGGACUGUUAACCAAAUGAAUAUGGUCCUAGAACCAGGAAGGAAUUUACGUCGAGACUGCGGGACGGCAACUAAUGAGGCGUUAAGGUCCGUCAGGCUUGAAUAUUUCACACCAAGGGGAGGUGACAGGCCAGAUAAACAAAACAUAUUAGUAGUUUUAAGUGAUGGCUUGACAGUACCUAAAGAAAACAAAAAUAAGACCCUUUCUGAGGCUCAAAUGAUUAGGGAUAUGAAUAUACCAUCUUACGUAAUGGGAUUACCAAAUCAGCGACAAUUGGAUUUGGGUAGGCGCAAUAUAUACAUAGGAGAUGAGGAGUGGUACGCCAUCGCUUCGGCGCCAGAAAAUGUUUUCAAGAUGGAAUUCAAAACAAUGUCUCGAAAGAUUGCACUUAUUGCCGAUCAAGUGUGUACGGAGGAGACAUGACGACCCCUUCGAUGGCUAUCAAAUGGGGAAUCGGAGUUCUCAAAUAUUUGGAGGUGGUGUUAAAGUAUGCAGAAUCUGGACUUGCUUAAAGCGACAAUGUUCCAUAGGAAGCACGAUCAAGACCACGUGGACUUUUGUACUUGAGCCGCAUCACACAUUCAUCUAUUUACUUACCAAGAAAGUAGUCCCGAAUCACCCACUUUCAUAUGGAAUUCAUAGUAGCCCGGGCAGAAUUGUUAAAGCGUCACUUUUUCUUAGUAACUUUUUCAAUUCUCAGAAUUAUCAAAAUCUGAUUACAUAUUUGAAAACAA
rnacentral:misc_RNA from 1 species